rnacentral:rRNA from 1 species
CCUACGGGUGGCUGCAGUGGGGAAUAUUGCACAAUGGGCGCAAGCCUGAUGCAGCCAUGCCGCGUGUGUGAAGAAGGCCUUCGGGUUGUAAAGCACUUUCAGCGGGGAGGAAGGCGGUGAGGUUAAUAACCUCAUCGAUUGACGUUACCCGCAGAAGAAGCAUCGGCUAACUCCGUGCCAGCAGCCGCGGUAAUACGGAGGGUGCAAGCGUUAAUCGGAAUUACUGGGCGUAAAGCGCACGCAGGCGGUCUGUCAAGUCGGAUGUGAAAUCCCCGGGCUCAACCUGGGAACUGCAUUCGGAACUGGCAGGCUAGAGUCUUGUAGGGGGGGGUAGAAUUCCAGGUGUAGCGGUGAAAUGCGUAGAGAUCUGGAGGAAUACCGGUGGCGAAGGCGGCCCCCUGGACAAAGACUGACGGUCAGGUGCGAAAGCGUGGGGAGCAAACAGGAUUAGAUACCCGGGUAGUC